rnacentral:rRNA from 1 species
UACGUAGGGUCCGAGCGUUGUCCGGAAUUACUGGGCGUAAAGAGCUCGUAGGUGGUUUGUCGCGUUGUUCGUGAAAACUCACAGCUCAACUGUGGGCGUGCGGGCGAUACGGGCAGACUAGAGUUCGGCAGGGGAGACUGGAAUUCCUGGUGUAGCGGUGAAAUGCGCAGAUAUCAGGAGGAACACCGGUGGCGAAGGCGGGUCUCUGGGCCGAUACUGACGCUGAGGAGCGAAAGCGUGGGGAGCGAACAGG